GACGAACGCUGGCGGCGUGCUUAACACAUGCAAGUCGAACGGAAAGGCUCCAGCUUGCUGGAGUACUCGAGUGGCGAACGGGUGAGUAACACGUGGGUAAUCUGCCCUGCACUCUGGGAUAAGCCUGGGAAACUGGGUCUAAUACUGGAUAUGACCUUUCUCCUUAUGGGGUUUGGUGGAAAGUUUUUCGGUGUAGGAUGAGCCCGCGGCCUAUCAGCUUGUUGGUGGGGUGAUGGCCUACCAAGGCGACGACGGGUAGCCGGCCUGAGAGGGUGAUCGGCCACAUUGGGACUGAGAUACGGCCCAGACUCCUACGGGAGGCAGCAGUGGGGAAUAUUGCACAAUGGGCGGAAGCCUGAUGCAGCGACGCCGCGUGAGGGAUGACGGCCUUCGGGUUGUAAACCUCUUUCAGCAGGGACGAAGCGUAAGUGACGGUACCUGCAGAAGAAGCACCGGCGAACUAUG
rnacentral:rRNA from 1 species